GGCUCAGGAUGAACGCUAGCUACAGGCUUAACACAUGCAAGUCGAGGGGCAUCAGGAAGAAAGCUUGCUUUCUUUGCUGGCGACCGGCGCACGGGUGAGUAACACGUAUCCAACCUGCCCUUUACUCGGGGAUAGCCUUUCGAAAGAAAGAUUAAUACCCGAUGGCAUAAUGAUUCCGCAUGGUUUCAUUAUUAAAGGAUUCCGGUAAAGGAUGGGGAUGCGUUCCAUUAGGUUGUUGGUGAGGUAACGGCUCACCAAGCCUUCGAUGGAUAGGGGUUCUGAGAGGAAGGUCCCCCACAUUGGAACUGAGACACGGUCCAAACUCUUACGGGAGGCAGCAGUGAGGAAUAUUGGUCAAUGGGCGCUAGCCUGAACCAGCCAAGUAGCGUGAAGGAUGAAGGCUCUAUGGGUCGUAAACUUCUUUUAUAUAAGAAUAAAGUGCAGUAUGUAUACUGUUUUGUAUGUAUUAUAUGAAUAAGGAUCGGCUAACUCCGUGCCAGCAGCCGCGGUAAUACGGAGGAUCCGAGCGUUAUCCGGAUUUAUUGGGUUUAAAGGGAGCGUAGGUGGACUGGUAAGUCAGUUGUGAAAGUUUGCGGCUCAACCGUAAAAUUGCAGUUGAUACUGUCAGUCUUGAGUACAGUAGAGGUGGGCGGAAUUCGUGGUGUAGCGGUGAAAUGCUUAGAUAUCACGAAGAACUCCGAUUGCGAAGGCAGCUCACUGGACUGCAACUGACACUGAUGCUCGAAAGUGUGGGUAUCAAACAGGAUUAGAUACCCUGGUAGUCCACACAGUAAACGAUGAAUACUCGCUGUUUGCGAUAUACAGUAAGCGGCCAAGCGAAAGCAUUAAGUAUUCCACCUGGGGAGUACGCCGGCAACGGUGAAACUCAAAGGAAUUGACGGGGGCCCGCACAAGCGGAGGAACAUGUGGUUUAAUUCGAUGAUACGCGAGGAACCUUACCCGGGCUUAAAUUGCAGUGGAAUGAUGUGGAAACAUGUCAGUGAGCAAUCACCGCUGUGAAGGUGCUGCAUGGUUGUCGUCAGCUCGUGCCGUGAGGUGUCGGCUUAAGUGCCAUAACGAGCGCAACCCUUAUCUUUAGUUACUAACAGGUUAUGCUGAGGACUCUAGAGAGACUGCCGUCGUAAGAUGUGAGGAAGGUGGGGAUGACGUCAAAUCAGCACGGCCCUUACGUCCGGGGCUACACACGUGUUACAAUGGGGGGUACAGAAGGCAGCUAGCGGGUGACCGUAUGCUAAUCCCAAAAGCCUCUCUCAGUUCGGAUCGAAGUCUGCAACCCGACUUCGUGAAGCUGGAUUCGCUAGUAAUCGCGCAUCAACCACGGCGCGGUGAAUACGUUCCCGGGCCUUGUACACACCGCCCGUCAAGCCAUGGGAGCCGGGGGUACCUGAAGUACGUAACCGCAAGGAUCGUCCUAGGGUAAAACUG
rnacentral:rRNA from 1 species